CAGUCGCCGCGGUAAUACGGAGGGGGCUAGCGUUGUUCGGAAUUACUGGGCGUAAAGCGCACGUAGGCGGCCUGUUAAGUCGGAUGUGAAAGCCCGGGGCUCAACCCCGGAACUGCAUCCGAGACUGGCAGGCUUGAGACCGGGAGAGGAGGGUGGAAUAUCCAGUGUAGAGGUGAAAUUCGUAGAUAUUGGAUGGAACACCGGUGGCGAAAGCGGCUCUCUGGCCCGGAUCUGACGCUGAGGCGCGAAAGCGUGGGGAGCAAACAGGAUUAGAUACCCGUGUAGUCCCUGUCUCUUAUAC
rnacentral:rRNA from 1 species